GGAAGCGGGGGCCGCGCGUCGCCGGAAGCGGGUGUGGGGGCGGAGCCGGCUACGUCACCGCGAACGUCAGUAGUUGCCCCGCCCUUGCCGUCGCCGCCCUCCGGUGCUUAAAAGGCUCCAAUUUACACUGAGAUACUGCAGCCAGUUCCUCCAAAACAGAGAGCAAAAGCAGUAACUGCAUUCAUUCAAGAGAUGCUCCGUUCAUGGUAAAGUUGAGGAAAGGAACUCACAAUACUAACACAGCCUCUGAAAUCAGACCACUUAGGUUAAAAUCCUAGCUUGACCACUUACCAUCUGAAUGCUCUCCAGCAAGUUAUUUCAAUUCUUGGGUCUCAAUUUCCUCAUCUGUAAUAAUAGUAUUUAUCUCAGAGGAUGAUUGUGAAGAAUUAAUGAGUUAACAUUUGCAAACAGAAUACUUCAUGGGUGAUUUGUGUCCUCAGUGUGUUACAUCAUAGAAAACACGAUGUCAUUUUUUCCAUUUUGGUGACAUUAAGUUUGAACAUUUGAUUCAAGUGAUUUCCACCAGACUUCUACAUUUAUAAAGAGCCUUUGCUGUGAUAUGGCUGCCUGGCCUGGGACCACAUAUCCCAGUCUUCUCUGCAGCAAAGUGAUGGCCAUGUAACAAAGAUUUCACCAAUGGAAUAUGAGCAGAACUGAUAUAACUUCAGCUUCUCUUGCUUAAAAGAAAUCCUUGCACCUAGGAUCCUGCUCUUUCUCUUUGUUGGCUGGAAUAGUAACUAGAAUUACUUUAGAAGCCAUGUGUCAAAGAUAGCAGAACAUCCUACUCAGCCUGAAUCCUGGAACCAGAAUAAAAGAAAGAAAUAAACUCCUCUGUUCUUUAAGCUACUAAAUAUUGACUAUCUGUUUGUUACAGCACUGUAGCCUUUAACCAUAGCUAAUACGUGUAACUUACAACUGUUUAAAUUUAUUAUGAAAAAUAUUAAAUAACUUCCAACUGUGUGAAAAGGUAAGUAGUUUUUGUUUUGUUUUGCUUUCUUUUCUUUUAAGGGAUUCACAAGCAACAAAGUUUAAAGACUCCUGGGGUAGUUCCUACUUGAUUUCUGCUUCUUCACCUUCUAGUCACUCAGCGACCUAUUAUAUUCUUGUUCCCUUCCUCUCUAAAAAGAGAGUAUACGGAUUCCAAACAGGUUGAUGUGUUAAUC